UAAGUUCUCUGUAGCGCAGCUAACGCAUUAAGCACUCCGCCUGGGGAGUACGACCGCAAGGUUGAAACUCAAAGGAAUUGACGGGGGCCCGCACAAGCGGUGGAGCAUGUGGUUUAAUUCGAAGCAACGCGAAGAACCUUACCAGGUCUUGACAUACUCGUGCUAUCCUUAGAGAUAAGGAGUUCCUUCGGGACACGGGAUACAGGUGGUGCAUGGUUGUCGUCAGCUCGUGUCGUGAGAUGUUGGGUUAAGUCCCGCAACGAGCGCAACCCUUAUUACUAGUUGCCAUCAUUAAGUUGGGCACUCUAGUGAGACUGCCGGUGAUAAACCGGAGGAAGGUGGGGAUGACGUCAAAUCAUCAUGCCCCUUAUGACCUGGGCUACACACGUGCUACAAUGGAUGGUACAACGAGUCGCCAACCCGCGAGGGUGCGCUAAUCUCUUAAAACCAUUCUCAGUUCGGAUUGCAGGCUGCAACUCGCCUGCAUGAAGUCGGAAUCGCUAGUAAUC
rnacentral:rRNA from 1 species